rnacentral:rRNA from 1 species
UACGGGGGGAGCAAGCGUUGUUCGGAUUUACUGGGCGUAAAGGGCGCGUAGGCGGCCAGCACAAGUCAGUUGUGAAAUCUCCGUGCUUAACAUGGAAACUGCCAUUGAUACUAUGUUUCUUGAAUCUUUCCGGAGGUCAGCGGAAUGAUGUCAUGUAGCGGUGAAAUGCUUAGAUAUGACAUAGAACACCAAUUGCGAAGGCAGCUGACUACAGGGGCAUUGACACUGAGGCACGAAAGCGUGGGGAG